rnacentral:rRNA from 1 species
UACGUAGGGUGCGAGCGUUAAUCGGAAUUACUGGGCGUAAAGCGUGCGCAGGCGGUUUUGUAAGCCAGAUGUGAAAUCCCCGGGCUCAACCUGGGAAUGGCAUUUGGGACUGCAAGGCUCGAGUGCGGCAGAGGAGACUGGAAUUCCGCGUGUAGCAGUGAAAUGCGUAGAUAUGCGGAGGAACACCGAUGGCGAAGGCAAUCCCCUGGGCCUGCACUGACGCUCAUGCACGAAAGCGUGGGGAGCAAACAGG